GACGAACGCUGGCGGCGGGCUUAACACAUGCAAGUCGAACGGAAAGGCCCUGCUUUCGUGGGGUGCUCGAGUGGGGAACGGGUGAGAAACACGGGAGUAUCCUGCGCUGGAGUUUGGGAUAACUUCAGGAAACUGGGGCUAAUACCGGAUAGGAGCGCCUGCAGCAGGGUGGGGGUUGGAAAGUUUAGGCGGAGGUGGAUGGAGUUGGGGCUAAUCAGCUUGUGGGGGGGGUAGCGGCUUAGCGAGGGUUCGACUGGUAGGCGGCGUGGGAGGGUGGACAGCCACAUUGGUACUAAGAUACGGACCAGACUCCUACAUGAGGCAACAGUGGGGAGUAUUGUACAAUGAUCGCGAGCGUGAUGCAACAGCGCCGCGUGCGGGAUGACGGCCUUCGGGUUGGAAACCGCUUUCGCCUGUUACGUAGCGUGAGUGACGGUAAUGGGUAAAGAAGCACCGGCUAACUACGUG
rnacentral:rRNA from 1 species